rnacentral:tRNA from 1 species
AUUUUUUUAGUAUAUAAAUAAUAUAUUUGACUUCCAAUCAAAAGAACUUUCUUAAGAAAAAAUA